rnacentral:tRNA from 1 species
GCAGAGGUAGCGAAGUGGUCAAACGCGCUGGACUCAAGUUCGUUGAGUGAUGAGGCGAAAGCCGAUGACACGACCAUAGAAUUCCACUGAUGAGGAAUCCAGUCCCUUAGUGGGUUCGGGGGUUCGAAUCCCUUCCUCUGCA